rnacentral:lncRNA from 1 species
CUGUAACAUUUUUUCUGUCUAUUCGAAAUAACAUAAAAAAUGUGGUGCACACUGUUAAAUAACCCGCUACAUGCGUUAUUCAGUGUGCACCACAUUUUUUAUGUUAUUUCUUCAUAGACAGAAAAAAUAUUACAGUCAUUCCUUAAAUAUAAUAUUUCCCAACUCAAUGAAAUACAUCAGUCUCCUUGAGGAUAUCACAUGUAAGCAAACCAGGGUAUAGUAGAAAGAAAGCAUAAAUUGUGUAUAAACAUUUUUAAAAUCACCAUUGCUUUAAGGUUAAUAUGUCUGGUUUAUUUGUUGGUAUUUGAUAGUAUGAAUUGAUAUAAGAAGCCAUUAUGCAAAACAUGCUUUUAAACACUACAGAUAAAAAAAAACAAUUGUAUUACAUAUUUGGUUUCUAUUUUCUGUAAUUGAUGGUGGUCUUCAUAUGAUAUAUUUUUUAAGGGUGGAGGGGGUAUUACAAUAUCUUCUUAUAAUCAUCGUUUUCCACCAUUGAAUAUUGGUAUAUCAGAACUGUCACAUUUAUUCUUACUAUGAAAUAUUCCGUUAUUAUUUUAUGUCUGGUUCAGCAGUCCAGUGUUAAGACAAUUUUACAUUUUAAUUUACAUCAUGUGAACAUACAUUUCAAAAAGGCCCUCUUACACAAAAUGACAGAGAUGAUUUUGUAAAUGUAAAUGUGCAUACAUGUAGAACAGUAAAAACUUAAACUGUAUCUAUUCCACAUAAAACAUGUAAAUGUUAUGAAGUGGAUAGGAGGAUACAAUGGUCUCUUUGAUAGGUUAUAAUUGUGCAAAAAAUAAAUGAUUUUUGAAGGAUUAUUUAUAGGAAUUUAUGUUUUUUAUGUAAU